GAUUAUUGAUUCAGGUGCAUCCGACCUAUGAUCAUCUGAAUUUUUCAAUUAUUAUUUUUUUAUGUCGGGGAACCUCUCCAAGGCAGGGCCCUUCGGACCCACCCCUGCAAAGUAAACUCCGGUCCCAUGCACUGCACCCUCAGAAGUUUCCCUAUAUGGAACUGGUUAAAUCGCUGGCCUUUCACCAGGGGUGUGGCCGCAAAUGAUUGUUUGCACCCAUGAGGUGUUGAACCUUGGACCUUGAAAGGAGUGAUACCCCAAGACCAAGGCCUUCACCACUUGGGUCAACCCCUUGGGGUUAGUUUCAAUUAAUUUAUCCUAGAUAUUUAUGGAUGAGUAAUGUUAUAUAUAGUCUUAAGAUGUGCGAGUCUCACAUACUCCCUUUGAAACAGAAAUGAGGCCCAAUGAGUUUUUUUCAUAUGGGUCCUAGAUUUGCUCCCUUUUUUCAAAGGGAGUGUGUGGAGCUUGCACACCCUAGGACCGUAUCUAGCAUUAUUCUUUAUGGAUCUCUUACAACCUGCCUCCAAAUAAGGUAAUGAAAGUGACAUUUCUAUCCCUACAGAGGAAGAGGGUGUUAUAGGCUUUCUUGGGGUUGUUACGG